rnacentral:rRNA from 1 species
AUUGAACGCUGGCGGCAGGCUUAACACAUGCAAGUCGAGCGGGGGAGGUUGCUUCGGUAACUGACCUAGCGGCGGACGGGUGAGUAAUGCUUAGGAAUCUGCCUAUUAGUGGGGGACAACAUUCCGAAAGGGAUGCUAAUACCGCGUACGCCCUACGGGGGAAAGCAGGGGAUCUUCGGACCUUGCGCUAAUAGAUGAGCCUAAGUCGGAUUAGCUAGUUGGUGGGGUAAAGGCCUACCAAGGCGACGAUCUGUAGCGGGUCUGAGAGGAUGAUCCGCCACACUGGGACUGAGACACGGCCCAGACUCCUACGGGAGGCAGCAGUGGGGAAUAUUGGACAAUGGGCGGAAGCCUGAUCCAGCCAUGCCGCGUGUGUGAAGAAGGCCUUUUGGUUGUAAAGCACUUUAAGCGAGGAGGAGGCUCUUAAGGUUAAUACCCUUGAUGAGUGGACGUUACUCGCAGAAUAAGCACCGGCUAACUCUGUGCCAGCCGCCGCAGUAAGAC